CCCGCUGAACUUAAGCAUAUCAAUAAGCGGAGGAAAAGAAACUAACAAGGAUUCCGCUAGUAACUGCGAGUGAAGUGGGAAGAGCUCAAAUUUAAAAUCUGGCGUGGCUCUGGUCGUCCGAGUUGUAGUCUGGAGAAGCGUUUUCCGUGUUGGACCGUGUAUAAGUCUCUUGGAACAGGGCGUCAUAGAGGGUGAGAAUCCCGUCUUUGACACGGACUAGCCAACGCUUUGUGAUGCGCUCUCAAAGGGUCGAGUUGUUUGGGAAUGCAGCUCAAAAUGGGUGGUAAAUUCCAUCUAAAGCUUAAUAUAGGCGAGAGACCGAUAGCGAACAAGUACCGUGAGGGAAAGAUGAAAAGCACUUUAGAAAGAGAGUUAAACAGUACGUGAAAUUGCUGAAAGGGAAACACUUGAAGUCAGUCAUGUCUGCCAGGACUCAGCCUCGCUUCUGCUUGGCGUACUUUCUGGUUGGAUGGGCCAACGUCGAUUUUGACCGUCGGAGAAAGGCUGCAGGGAAUGUGGCAACUUCGGGUGUGUAACAGCGUUUUGUCGUAUACGUCGGUAGGGAUCGAGGACCGCAGCACGUCUGUAUGCUCGGGAUUCGCCUACGUACGUGCUUCGGAAGCUGACAUAAUGGCUAUAAACGACCCGUCUUGAAACACGG
rnacentral:rRNA from 1 species